rnacentral:lncRNA from 1 species
GACAAGGAGGAAGACACCCCCGUCGAGAAAACUACCUAUGGUGAAACAACCUAUGGAGAUAGUGAAAAAACUAGCUCUGGUGGUGAUAAUACAUAUGGCGAAAAAACUAGUGCCUAUGGAGAUAAUACAUAUGGAGAAAAAACUAGCACCUAUGGAGAUAACACUACAUAUGGUGAGAAAACUAGUUAUGGUGAUAAUACAUAUGGUGAAAAAACUAGCACCUACGGAGGAGAUAACACGUAUGGAGGUGAGAAAACUAGUUAUAGUGAUAAUACAUAUGGCGAAAAACCUAGCACCUACGGAGGAGAUAACACGUAUGGAGGUGAGAAAACUAGCUAUGGUGGAGGAGAUACGUAUGGAGAUAACAAAUAUGGUGAGAAAACCAGCACCUAUGGUGAGAAUACAUAUGGAGAGAAAACUAGUUAUGGUGGAACUGAGGAAGGUGGCUAUGGUGGAGGAGCUGCUGCCUAUUCAUCUGAGACUACUAAUUAUGAAGACACCACUGAAACCAAAACUGCUGAGGAUUAUAAGGAAGAGAAAAAACACCACAAGCAUCUUGAACAUGUCGGAGAACUCGGUGCCGUUGCCGCUGGCGCCUUUGCUUUGGUAAAUAAUUUUCCUAACAAUUAAUACGCCUAUGAUAGUAUUUACUGUGUGAGCAAAAUAUCCUUAAGGACAUUACUUUUCUUGACACACCAUAACCUAAAUUCUAUGUAUUCUCCAUAUGUAGUAGUGAUUUUUGCAACAAAAAUUUGCAAGAUAUACUAAUCAUGCAUCUAAAAGAUCACUAGUACGUGUAAUUGCCUAUGAUAAGUGAAAUUAAUAAUUCAAGACAUGUAAUGGUGACCACAUUUUUAAUUACUUUAAUACGGCCGGGUCUAACUUUUCCUUUUGAUGAUCACUUAAUUUCUUCCAUUAAUCUUUUUGGUGUGAAUGAAUGUUUC